UAUUAGCUUGGUGGGUGGUUCUUAGUUGGGUGAUUUCGGGAAUGUCUACCGUAAAGGUGCAUGAGUGGUGUUUGGUUUGUUACGGGUGGUUGGCUCUUUGCUUGCGCAACAACUUCCACCUGGCAGACCUCUUCAGUCUUGUGUCGAUGCUUGUAUCGCAUUGAAUGCAUGGUGGGUUUCCUGUGUUGCAUGCCUAAUGAUGGUAUCAUUUGAAGAACUGACGUCCAUUUUCGUCUUGUGUCGCACAUGCGAUGUGAGAUGAACCUUGAAGCUGCCUUUGUGUUCCACUCUUUUGAUGCACACGCAUUGAUUUUGUGGCCCACAAAGUGUUGCUUGGUCUCAUGGAUAUGGAACCUGGUGUGGGCAUGGGAACUUUACUAGUUCCUUGUUUGCCCUAGUUUAGCUUUUCUAAUACGAUUGUCUAUCAUGUAUUGACGUGGUAGAC
rnacentral:misc_RNA from 1 species